GACGAACGCUGGCGGCGUGCUUAACACAUGCAAGUCGAACGAGACGAUUGAAAGCUUGCUUUUGAAAGUCGAGUGGCAAACGGGUGAGUAACGCGUAGACAACCUGCCUUUGAGAUGGGGACAACAGUUCGAAAGGACUGCUAAUACCGAAUGUUGUAUAUUUUCCACAUGGAAGAUAUAUUAAAGAUGGCCUCUAUUUAUAAGCUAUCGCUCAAAGAUGGGUCUGCGUCUGAUUAGCUGGUUGGUGGGGUAACGGCCUACCAAGGCGACGAUCAGCAGCCGGUCUGAGAGGAUGAACGGCCACAUUGGGACUGAGACACGGCCCAGACUCCUACGGGAGGCAGAAGUGGGGAAUCUUCCACAAUGGACGAAAGUCUGAUGGAGCAACGCCGCGUGAGUGAAGAAGGGUUUCGGCUCGUAAAGCUCUGUUGUCGGGGACGAAUGUGCAGUAUUUGAAUAAAGUACUGCAAUGACGGUACCUGACGAGGAAGCCACGGCUAACUACGUGCCAGCCGCCGCAGUAA
rnacentral:rRNA from 1 species